rnacentral:rRNA from 1 species
UACGUAGGGUGCAAGCGUUAAUCGGAAUUACUGGGCGUAAAGCGUGCGCAGGCGGUUUUGUAAGUCUGACGUGAAAUCCCCGGGCUCAACCUGGGAAUUGCGUUGGAGACUGCAAGGCUGGAGUCUGGCAGAGGGGGGUAGAAUUCCACGUGUAGCAGUGAAAUGCGUAGAGAUGUGGAGGAACACCGAUGGCGAAGGCAGCCCCCUGGGUCAAGACUGACGCUGAGGAGCGAAAGCGUGGGGAGCGAACAGG